GAGGAGGGUUUUUAGUUGGUAGGCGCUCCCACCAGGAGUGAAUCCGACACUACCCCCCUUGGGGGCUGUCUUUAGAUUUCCCCUCCUC
rfam:Agrilus planipennis Contig44293, whole genome shotgun sequence.